rnacentral:rRNA from 1 species
AGUAAAUUGGUUAAGUUAGAAAGGGCGCACGGUGGAUGCCUUGGCACUAGGAGCCGAAGAAGGACGGGACUAACACCGAUAUGCUUUGGGGAGCUGUACGUAAGCGUUGAUCCAGAGAUUUCCGAAUGGGGGAACCCA